UCCUGGUUUGCUUGUAGGAUAUAGAUGCAAGAACCUGCCAAGAAAACCAACGGCAAAGGGGAUUGAUGAGUGCAGGACCUGAGAGAAGCACCUUGAAUGACAACCUUGAGGAGUUUCCAGUAUUGGAUUGCAAAGAUGGCCUUUGCUGCAUCUCCUUGAGCAAGGAAAGCCAAGAAACCUUUGCUUUGGAAGGAGAAAAUCUGGAAAGGAAGAAAAGCAGCCCCCUGACUCCUCCCUGAGCCCCAGACAGCCCAUGAACUGCCUUGCUGGGAAUGGUAGGACGGGCUGGACUCUGGAUUGCUCCCUCUGGAUGUGUGGAACUCCAGGAACUCCUGGUGCCGCCUGGGCCGAUGGAUUGGACGCCCCAGCCCCUCCGUUCCUGCCCAGCCACUGGGUCCGUGUCCAGUGGUGGCACUGCCAGCCCUGCAGUGGGAUGUAGCCUGGAAAGUGCACAGAGCUGAGCCAAGGGAUUGAAAGGGACCAAGCAAGGGAGGUGAAGGAAGAAGGAAGAAGGGAAGUGAGGCAGCAGGCAAGCAGCACCAAGUUGCUGUGUAAGCAGAGGGAUAAUAACUCCUGUCAGCAGCAAGGUCCCGACUGAAGUGGCAGCUGCAGUUGUUCCUGUGGUGUGGGCCAGUGGAAUUCCAAGAAAAUGGGCAAGGACAGAAGCUGUAAGAAUUACCCCUAAGGCAGAGUCUCUCCUGGUAAGGCAAACCAAGUAUCCUUUAAAAUUAGGAAGCCAAGCUGGAUUGGUUGCAGUAACAGCUGAAUUUGCUGAUCAUGGUUUGAUAGUAGAAUGUGAAUGGAAGGACCUGUAAAGAAAGGAAAUGGGAAAGAUGACUGAUUGCUGGGAGCAGGGGCUGGCAGACAGUGGCACUGGAUGUUUGGUUGUGUUUGGGAAUGAGCAGCUUGACCUGCCCAGGGUUGUCUGUGCUGGGGGUGGGUUUGGGUCCUGUGUUGCCACAGGUCUGUGCAGCAGCUGGAGCCUGGGCAGGUCUGGGGGCUGUGGUGUGCCAGGCUGCUGAGUGUGUUGUCCCUGUUUCCUUGGAGUGUCCCAGUGUCCCUGCUUGGCUGUUUGUUGCCCUGCAGGCAGAAGAGCCCAGGCCUGAGCUGGCUGAGUGUUGGUGUGAGCCAGAGUGGGUGUCCCUGCCCUCGGGCCAGUCCCCAGAGCUGCCUUUGGCAUCCCCUGCUGAAGGGUGGGAGCUGCCCAGAGCCAGCAGCAUCCAGCUGGAGGAUCCAGGAGGAUGCAGCUCUGCUUUGCUGGGAGGACGUGAAUGCAAGAACCUGCCAAGAAAACCAAUGUCCAAGAUGAUUGAUCAGUGCAGGACCUGAGAGAACCCCCUUCAAUGACAACCUGAAGCAGUUUCCAGUGUUGGAUUGAAAAGAUGGCCUUUGCUGCAUCUACUUGAGCAAGGAAAGCCAAGAAACCUUUGCUUUGGCAGGAGAAAAUCUGGAAAGCAGGAAGGAAGAAAAGAAGCCCCCUGACUCCUCCCUGAGCCCCAGACAGCCCAUGAACUGCCUUGCUGGGAAUGGUAGGACAGGAUGGACUCUGGAUUGCUCCCUCUGGAUGUGUGGCUCUCCCCUCAGGAACUCCAGGAACUCCUGGUGCCGCCUGGGCCGAUGGAUUGGAUGCCCCAGCCCCUCCAUUCCUGCCCAGCCACUGGGUCCGUGUCCAGUGGUGGGACUGCCAGCCCUGCAGUGGGAUGUAGCCUGGAAACUGCAGAGAGCUGAGCCAAGGGAUUGAAAGGGACCAAGCAAGGGAGGUGAAGAAAGAAGGAAGAAGGAAAGUGAGGCAGCAGGCAAGCAGCAGCAAGUUGCUGUGUAAGCAGGUGAAAAUGAGGCACAGAAGGACUUAAUGAGUACCAAUGAACUGAUCUGGAGGGCUGUAUUCACAUCCUGGAUUGCAAAAAUUAACUGGAUUUUGUCUCCUGAAUUUCUGCAGUGCACCAACUGAUACCAUGC